GUGGGAGGCCACCCGCGCCCCGAGAGAAGGACACCCCGGCUGCGCCCCGCCACGCCAGCCGCCACCUGCGGAACAAAGCAGGCUUAGCCUUGGCGCCGCCACCGCCGCGACUCCCCUCGCUUUUACUCCCCAGGGGCCGCCGCCGCCCGGGCUGCUCCCCGGGGCUGCUCAGCACCGCCAGCUCUGCCGCUGCCCCGCCCGCCCCGCCAACACUCACCGGGCGGCGGAGCGGGCCGGAACCCGACCGACCGCCCACCCGCCGCCGCCAUCCCGGCCCCUCCCCAGCCUCCGCCCCGGAACAGCGUCACUGCGCGGGGCGCGGAUGUGACGGCGACGGCCCCGGUCUCGCUCCCGGCAGAUCCCGGCUCAGCUCCGCGCCCGCGAGCAGCUGUUCCUGUGGCAACGCCGCCGCCGAUGGCGGACCCGUCCCGGCGCCUGGCGGAGGGUGCCCGCCGCCGCCGCCCGCCAGGGGAGGAGCGGCGGGAGCCUCCCGGCACCGGGCGCUGCCGGACGCGCCACAGGCUGAAGGCGGCCGCGGCCCUGGCCCGCACGGGAAGCGAAGGCCCGGCGGCGAACAUGACAUCAGAUAAGGAGUUUGCAGAAGAUAGCAAUUUUUCUCCGAAAGCCAGCACCAGUAAGCUGCCGACCGAUGCGUCUCCCGACUCCAAGUGCCCCAUCUGCCUGGACAGAUUUGACAACGUGGCGUAUCUGGAUCGCUGCUUGCACAGGUUCUGCUUCCGCUGCGUCCAAGAGUGGUCCAAGAACAAAGCAGAAUGCCCGCUGUGCAAGCAACCCUUCUUUUCCAUUUUCCAUACGAUUCGUGCUGAAGAUGACUUCAAGGAGUACAUCCUGAGCCCUUUAGAAACAAGCUCUUUUGCCAGCCCCGAUGGCCGGAGGUUUCGUUACCGCACCACCUUAACGAGGGAACGCCGCAGGCGCGGUUCCCCUUCCCGAAGGGUGGCGUCCCCUCCGGAUAACGGGAUGUUGUUUGAAGGGCUGUCGAGCGAGCCGGCGCGACACAGGCACAGAGAGAUUGAGCAGAUGCUCAGGAGGCUGGCCUCGAGGAGGAAGGCCAGCGCGGAGGGCAGAUCUCUGCGUCAGAUUCAGGAGGAGGACAUGAUCACCUUCCGCAGGGCUCUGUACCGCACCGGCGUGCGCAUCCGCAGCAUCCAGGACGGCGGCCGAUACCGAGAGAUUUCGGCCGAGUUCUUCCGGCGCAACCCUGCUUGCCUUCACCGCCUGGUUCCUUGGCUGAAGCGAGAGCUUACGGUCCUGUUUGGUGCCCACGGGUCUCUGAUCAAUAUUGUGCAGCACAUCAUCAUGAGUAACGUAACCAGGUACGAUCUGGAAAGCCAGGCCUUUGCUGACGAUCUGAAGCCCUUUCUGCUGAAUCGGACAGAGCACUUCCUGCACGAAUUCAUCAGUUUUGCUCGUUGUCCUUUUAACUUAGAAUCAUACGAUCAACACGCCAAUUAUGACUGUCCUGCACCGUCGUAUGAGGAAGGAAGCCACUCAGACUCAUCAAUUAUCACAAUAUCUCCAGAUGUGGCGUACCCACAAGGGCCGGAUCAUAGUUUGUCUGUUCCUGGCCUUGGUCAGGCCCCGUGGGAUGACGAAACUCCGGGGCCUUCCUAUUCCAUUUCAGAAGAGGUUCGUGCAACCAUAGCUUCUCCUCUGGAGUCAUCAGAAAGUUCUGACGAGGACUCUGCUUCAGGGAGCCGAAGAACCAAGCUGCAGACUGAGUUACAGGCCAACGCUGACUCAAACGACAGCGGCUCUUCCUCAGACAAUUGUGUCAUUGUUGGGUACGUUAAGCCGCUAGCUGAGAGGACCCCAGAAGUGGUUGAGCUGUCCUCGGACUCUGAGGAGUCCAUCAAGGAAGAGAAAAGGGAAGAUGUCAAGAAACAGCGACCAGUCCAGUGUCAUAGCUGGAGUGACAGUGACCCAAGCAGGAGCUUCUCACCACAUUCCCCAACAUACGGGGAGGAUGUAGGAAGUUGUAGAAGCUGUUUAUCUCCUGCAGUUGAGAAGAUGGAAUCAAAAGGGAAUGAGAAAAACAAAUACAAAAGAAAAGAUCUGCCUCCACAGGACUUGAGUUGGAGCCCCUCUCCAGGGAGUGAUACAGUAUGCUCCCCUUGGAAUCACAGAUUGUCUAAAAAGGGAAAGUCUAGAAGCCCACAGUCCUGUUCACGGGACAGUCGAGGCAGCCAUGGCCAUCGGUCUAGAAGGGAGCACCGUAGCAAAAGCCAACUUAAAAAGAGACGAUCGAGAAGCAGAGAUAGUAGCAAACAUAGGAGCAAAAGAAGCAGCAGAAGAUCAAGGGCUCAUGACACCAGAGCCUCUCUGAAAAGCCAGAGGGGCUCUCUAAGUGGUGAGAGCACUCCAUCCAGAGAAGUGAGCCGAUCACGUUCACGCAGCAAAGGCCACAGUAAAAGGAGAUCAAGAAGUAGAGACAGCGAUCGCUAUUAUGUAAGAGACAGUUACCAAAGCAGACACCAGUGGGGUUCUGCUUUCUGUAGUCGAAAGGUGUUUGGAGACAGCUAUGAAUCCUCCAGCAGAAGGAGGACCCGGUCUAACACUCUUUACUCACGGCAAUCUUCUAGUCCAGAAUACAGGAUACGAUCAUUUAUUGAGAGGACAGAUCUGCAUAGCCAGAGGGGACUCCAUGAGAGACACUAUUACUGUUAUGAAAGAUGCAGGUCAAGGAGUCGGUCAAGCAACAGAUCAAGGACUCCUUCUGGAGGAAAUGACAGAAUGAAAAGUGAAAAGCCUGGUGGAAAAAGGAAGUACAAAACUCGCCACCUGGAGAAUGCAUUCAUGGAAAGCACAAGUCUAGAAAGAGAAAAUGAGUCCAAGAAAACUUCCUCAAAAUUUGUUGACUGCUGCAAAAAUGAAGAUAGCCUGUCAGACAAUCGUGCAAGCAGUGAGACAAAGCGUAAGAAAAGGAAGAAGAAAAUGAGGAGUCCAAGUGUGGAGAUAGUCUAUGAAGGAAAAGCAACGGACACAACGAGGCAUCUUAAAAAGAAAAAGAAAAAGCAUAAGAAGAAACACCGGAAACAUCACACGAGUAACUCAGUACAUUCUUCUCCGGUGGUGAUUACAAUUGAUAGUGAUAGUAGUAAGGAACCAGAAAGUACCGAAUGGGACAGCAGUAUUACAUGGACAGGAACAACUCAAAUAAAUGAGAGGGAAAAUGAGUCUCCAUCUUCUUUUCUGAGGAGCACAGGAUGUGAGGAAACUGGAGAAGUAGACAAAAAGUAUGGUAUCCCUGACACAAGGGAAAACUUAGGUGGUGGCGUUAGAAAUGCUGAUGUCAAAAUUCAGGAAACAGCAGCUGAUCAGAGUGUUGCCACAGUGAGUACCAGCAGCAACACCUCUCACACAGAAACUGUAACCAGUUAUGUUCAGGAAGCACCAGCAGCGCCUUCCAGUCAACUGCCUUCCCCCAGGACUUCCUUCCUAGAGUGUCCAGAGAGAGAGCCAUUGAUACUGAGACUGCCAAAGAGACUUGUCAACAGAUCCUCGUGGUUUGAUUUCCCAGAAGAAAAAAUGUAGUAGGCUUUCCUAGGAACACUUGUUAAAACUGUGAAUUUAACUACUUUCUUUUUUCCCUUGAAAACUAAAAUGUCUGGUAGGAUUUCUGUCUGUUAAAGAGAUGUCUAGGAAAUGUAUAAAACUUCUGAAUGUGUAUGCACUUUUAAGUCAAAGAAGAUAGAAUAUAGCUAGUAUGUAAUUCUAAAAGUUUGUUAGAGGACUGUUUGGAAGUUUUAAUUUCAUAAAGCCAUCCACAGUGUAUUUCAAAGUUUUGUGUAAACCAAACAACAGAAAAGGAAUCCAAACCAAGAGCCUAGAAAUGCAUUUUAUGGGGAUUGUUCUUCUUAGACCAGAAAAAUGUUUAGUUCAUAAAAAGUGAUUCAGUCUGAAUUCCAGCAUCAUUUCAAUUUCUGGUUUAAGCAGAUCUCUGCUGAAAAGCAGUCAGUGAUUUCUACAGAAAUUCUCAAAUGACUUUGAGUAAUUUUAAGGUCUGGCCCUUCUCUGUGUGCACAGCAGUAGCUCUGAGGGCUGAAUGAGGAGGGUACCUUCACUGUCUCUCCUGCACUACCUCCACGAGUUUUAUGGAUUUGACCUUGGCUGGUUGCUUGCCAGAUAUGCAGUACUUCUGAAACAGAUUGCUCCAGCUGCCAGGAAACCUGCUCCUGUAUGUGCUCCUAAGCACAGGCUUCAGCUCCUGACAGGAGCCUGUUCCUGUGUGAGAUCUCCAUGGGCUGUAGCUUCCAUAAGGGCAUCUCUACCUGCUCCAGAGUGGGGCUUUUCCACAGCCUGCAGGUAAAACUCUGCAGGAAUCACAUAGAUGAUUAAAAACAGAGGGCCAUCACAAGCUAGUGAUUGAGCUGUGUUCAGGCCUAUUGGUUGGUACAGAGCAGUGAUGGAUGACAGUGUACAGUCAGAAAACAACCUUGUGCAGGAAACAGCUGGCACCACAAUGAAGAUUGCCAAAGAACAAGUUGCUGUCACAGAAUGCCCCUACCAUGUCCCACAGGCCAAACAGCUGCCAGAGAUAGUUUCUUAUACGAAUGCCUUGUUGUCACCAAUUAGAGAGUAUAAUGAUCAGUUCCAGUUCCAUCAUAACUGAAGGACAAGAGAGACAAAUAAGGAUAGGGUAAGUAAUUUUUCAGCCAUCUGUCUUCUGAAAGCACACUACCAGCAUUUCUGCCUUGAGCUGAACCCCACAGCAUCAUACCUUCUAGAGAUGAAAAUAAGAGAGCAUCGACAAAAUGGGUAGUGGUAUUUGGCCAAUGUGUUCUGUCUGAUCCUGACUCUAUACAUUACUGUGGCUAUAAACAAUAUUCAGGUUUCCUCUGAAGGCCUGCUGAAGUGGAAAAUCCU